UCAACUAUGGACUACAUACGGAA
rnacentral:miRNA from 1 species